GCUUAUGAUUAUAUAAUCCAAGUUGUUUAAGGUGUUUUGGAGCCAAGCUCCUGUUUACAGGAGGAACCUACUUGGUGAAGGAACAUUCAUAUGACAUUAAAGGAUUUUAAUGAGGC